AAAUGCGUUAAGUAAUGUGCAUUGCAGAAUUCAGUGAAUCAUCGAAUCUUUGAACGCACCUUGCGCUCCUUGGUAUUCCUUGGAGCAUGCCUGUUUGAGUAUCAUGAAAUCUUCAAAGUAAAUCUUUUGUUAACUCAAUUGGUUUCUACUUUGGUAUUGGAGGUCUUUGCAGCUUCACACCUGCUCCUCUUUGUUCAUUAGCUGGAUCUCAGUGUUAUGCUUGGUUCCACUCGGCGUGAUAAGUUAUCUAUCGCUGAGGACACUGUAAAAGGUGGCCAAGGUAAAUGCAGAUGAACCGCUUCUAAUAGUCCAUUGACUUGGACAAUACUUUUAUGAUCUGAUCUCAAAUCAGGUAGGACUACCCGCUGAACUUAAGC
rnacentral:misc_RNA from 1 species